rnacentral:rRNA from 1 species
UACGGAGGGGACUAGCGUUGUUCGGAAUCACUGGGCGUAAAGCGCACGUAGGCGGAUUGCUAAGUCAGGGGUGAAAUCCUGGAGCUCAACUCCAGAACUGCCCUUGAUACUGGCGGUCUCGAGUCCGGGAGAGGUGAGUGGAACUGCGAGUGUAGAGGUGAAAUUCGUAGAUAUUCGCAAGAACACCAGUGGCGAAGGCGGCUCACUGGCCCGGUACUGACGCUGAGGUGCGAAAGCGUGGGGAGCAAACAGG